rnacentral:rRNA from 1 species
AUUGAACGCUGGCGGCAUGCUUUACACAUGCAAGUCGAACGGUAACAGGCCGCAAGGUGCUGACGAGUGGCGAACGGGUGAGUAAUGCAUCGGAACGUGCCCAGUCGUGGGGGAUAACUGCUCGAAAGAGCAGCUAAUACCGCAUACGAUCUAUGGAUGAAAGCGGGGGACCGUAAGGCCUCGCGCGAUUGGAGCGGCCGAUGUCAGAUUAGGUAGUUGGGGGGGGAAAGGCUCACCAAGCCAACGAUAUGUAGCUGGUCUGAGAGGACGACCAGCCACACUGGGACAGAGACAUGGCCCAGACUCCUACGGGAGGCAGCAGUGGGGAAUUUUGGACAAUGGGCGCAAGCCUGAUCCAGCAAUGCCGCGUGCAGGAAGAAGGCCUUCGGGUUGUAAACUGCUUUUGUCAGGGAGGAAAUCUUCUGGGCUAAUACCCCGGGAGGAUGACGGUACCUGAGGAAUAAGCACCGGCUAACUACGUGCCAGCAGCCGCCGUAA